UACCUGUGGGGCAAGCGUUGUUCGGAAUUACUGGGCAUAAAGGGUGCGUAGGUGGCUUGUUAAGUCAGGGGUGAAAGUUUUCGGCCCAACCGGAAAAUGGCCUUUGAUACUGGCGAGCUCGAGUACGUGAGGGGUAACCGGAACGAGCAGUGUAGCGGUGAAAUGCGUAGAUAUUGCUCGGAAGGCCAACGGCGAAGGCAGGUUACUGGUACGCAACUGACACUGAGGCACGAAAGCGUGGGGAGCAAACAGG
rnacentral:rRNA from 1 species